rnacentral:rRNA from 1 species
GACAGAGGGUGCAAACGUUGUUCGGAAUUACUGGGCGUAAAGCGAGUGUAGGCGGUUUCCUAAGUCAGGUGUGAAAGCCCCGGGCUCAACCCCGGGAAGUGCACUUGAAACUGGGAGGCUAGAGUAUCGGAGAGGUUGGUGGAAUUCUCGGUGUAGAGGUGAAAUUCGUAGAUAUCGAGAGGAACACCGGUGGCGAAGGCGGCCAACUGGACGAAUACUGACGCUGAGACUCGAAAGCGUGGGGAGCAAACAGG